rnacentral:lncRNA from 1 species
GCUGAGAAACUUUGUGGCUCUCAUUUUAAUAUGGAACCGAACUGUCUACAGCAGCACUGAAGAUGAUGCUGGUUGGUUUCGCAUUCCAAUUGAUAAGGUGGGCGAAAGCCUCUUUCUAAGCAGUCACUCUGGCACGACUCAUGAGUACAACCCGCUAAAUCUCUGCAUGAGCGUCGUUGAAGUACAAUGCAAUACAUCACAUAAUAAAAAAAUAGUAAUACAAUCCAUAAAACAAAAAUAUUUGUUGAUAGAUUAAUUAAUUUCAAUAUUUGGAAACAUCAUGUAAAAUAUAAAUAAUGUUGCUUACUUGCUUGGCAAGACGGCAACGUUGAGAACAUGAAGACAACGACCAAUAAAGCAACAGCUAUGUUGUACAUGAUCAUCCUUGUGUUUCUCUUGAUGAGUUCCAUGAGGAAAAAUGUGACUUAUGUUCGAUCUUUGUUUUUCAUUUCCAAGCUCCUUUACAGGUGUUUAUAUAGACGCACAAUAAAAUCUUAGAUAUCAGUUGGUUAAUUUCAUGCAUUUAUGUACCUCCCCUAAUUAGUAUCAGCAUAUUUUGCUAGUUUUACAUAAAUACCAAAGAUUUUAUUUCACAAAAAAUAUAUGUUUCAUCAUUAUGGCAUUUAAUGUUGAAGAUAGCAUAUUGAGCCAAAAUAAAAUCUUUAGGUAUCGGCACUGCAUUUAUGUCUCCAUUAUAAAAUAGUACCCAUACCGAUCUUGUUGGCUAUUUUGUAUCAUCCACACUUAUGUAAGUAUAUCUUACAUUUAUUUUACAUUAUUGUUUGUGUGGUAUAUAGUUUUAGUAUAUACAGAGGCUUGCACAAUCAAAUCUUAUGCAUUGAUGAAUCUUGCAUAUACUUGAUCUCAAAAAUAAAUAUUGCUGGAGUACUCCAUACUCAUGAAUAUUAGUUAUCAAUAUUGCACUUUUUCUGCUAAAUUAAUGUUGAUGUAUCUUAUUGAAUCUUAAUAAAUAUCAUGCAAUCAUUUGUAUAUGUUAUGAUUAUUGAUAUUUUUUGCGGCAUUUAUUGACCUCUAUUAUAUGGUGGCAUGCAAAAUUAUUGAUAUUGCUUCUUUUCGCUUCAUUUGUAUUAUACAUUGCUAUAAAUUUUGCAUUUAUAUUCAAUCAACAAUAAAUAAAUGCUUGGACAAACGUAAGCUUGUACUUACUGACGAAUAUGCAGCCCGUUAGUAGCAACACCAUUGUAGUAAACAUUUCAGAGUUUUUCCCGUUAUGCUUAUAACCGGCUAUAAUAAUUGAUCUUUAAUGUUUCAUGCUUCAGGGUAUUUAUACAAAUGUCUCCCAUUUUAUUGAACAAAUGGAAGGGCACAACAACCAAGAUCUUUCUUGUGGGUCUUGCAUAAUUGGAAACUGAUUACAUGGUUUCAUGCUUAUGCACAUCUUAUUAUUCCUUAGUUAACGUAGGAUUUGCAGUACUUUAUGCUUGAGUUGAUGUAUGUCAUCUGAAUCAGAAUGGAGCCUGAACCAAAUUGUAUGACUCAUUUUCACUAGGUGCACAUACUGCUGCUCUUCUAUAUGGAAUGUGAUACUGGGGUAUUAAUACUUAGUGUUGCUAUCUCAGAUAUUGCUAAAAAAAAGUCUCCGGUUUUGUAACUUGGUACGCUCGAGUGGUGCAAUACUUUUCAACUAUUUGCACCUUUCAUUUAAAAACAUUGUAACCCAUUGACGCUGAAAAGUGGCACGAUCAUAAAGAGUAGCUUGAACUAUGUCAAGAUUAAUUCAGACUUAUUAUUGAAGUCACUAUGGGAUGGAUCUCUUCCAGAAGAUCAAAAUGGAUAUGAAGAUGGUCUAAAACAGAGCCCCGAUGCAGAAGUUGUGACAAGUUCAAAGAUUGGAUAUAGUAUCGACCCUACUAUCUCGGUAGGCGAACCGGGACUAAAGGCAUUAGGCUUUAGUACCGACCCUAUAGUCCCGGUUCCCGAACCGGGACAAAUGGGCGUUAUGAACCGGGACAAACGGGCCUUUUUCUACUAGUGCAUACUGGACCUACCCAAUAAAUAUUUCAGAAAUUCAUAAUAAUCCUAGAGGCUAGCUUGGACAAUUCACGCAUGUCAAGAGGUGGGACUAAAAUUUAGUCCCACAUUGCUAGUUGAGAGAGAGUUACACCUCCACAUAAGGUGAGCUCUUUCCCCACUUGUAUGAGCAUGAUAAAAAGAGAGAUUCUCACACGCUCCUCCCCUGCCGCCCGCCUUGCCUCAUCACGACACACUGCGUCGCGCCACGGGCUAUGGGAAUGCCUAGAGCAUGCAUGAAGCUGAGGUGUUUUGUUGAUGUAGUUAGUGGAGAUUGGUUACAAGGUUUGUUCGGCUUUGGCUGCUAUGUCUCCGUUUCCUGUCUCUUUGUUUCAUUUCCUGUCACAGCCUAUUUGCCUCCUCUUUCUGUGCUUAUAAAAUAGAGGUAUCUCCUCUCCAUAGACACACAUAAACAGAGCACCACUUGCCUCCUACUACCAUGUUCCAGAGCACUACGCUACCAGGUUCUUCUCCAUCCCGGCUUAUGGCGUGCAUCACCGAUAGGGACAGUAGGCCUCCGGAACCACGCGACAUUGAGUCAUGCACGGGUGAAGGGAAAUAAGGUGUUUGGGGAGCGCUCUGUGCGACUACUGGCUUCUCCACCCCAGAUGUCGCUACAGAUGUUGAAGACACUUUCCCCAAUGAUGACUUCUUUUAGGACAUCGGCAACCUCUUCGGUAACAAGGGAAAUAACAUCACGAAUGGCGCCGCCCCUGCUCCUGUCUAGGACAUGUUCACUUCUCCUCUAUUUAAUAUGUUUUUAUCCUAAUUUUAGUUCAAUUUCAUGUUCUAGCAAUUGGACUACAUAUGCCAUGUUCAAAUUCACUACUACAUAUGUUAUUUUCUCACUCUCUGAUAGACUACAUGUCUAGUUUAAUCUUUACUAUUAUGGUCAUGUUUUAUCUACUAUUUUUAUGGAUUAAAUCACAUGGUAAACUGCUCAUAUUUCCAACACGCCCCAUGUACAUGUAUGGGUGUAACAAACACAUCCUAUGAGGCCAGUCUCCCUUCAUCAAAAUGUUCCAUGGCAAUCCAAUGAGAUUGAUGCCUCUAAUACCUAUGUUUAUCAGAAAAUAUAAGUUUAUUCAAUUAUUGGCAUCAGUAUACAGCAUUGCAUUGCAUAAGCUAAGAAACUUUGUGGCUCUCAUUUUAAUAUGGAACCGAACUGUCUACAGCAGCACUGAAGAUGAUGCUGGUUGGUUUCGCAUUCCAAUUGAUAAGGUGGGCGAAAGCCUCUUUCUAAGCAGUCACUCUGGCAAGACUCAUGAGUGCAACCCACUAAAUCUCUGCAUGAGCGUCGUUGAACUACAAUGCAAUACAUCACAUAAUAAAAAAAUUAGUAAUACAGUCUAUAAAACAAAAAUAUUUGCUCAUAGAUUAAUUAAUUUCAACAUUUGGAAACAACAUGUAAAAUAUAAAUAAUGUUGCUUACUUGCUUGGCAGGACGGCAACGUUGAGAACAUGAACACAAUGACCAAUAAGGCAACAGCUAUGUUGUACAUGACAAUCCUUGUGUUUCUCUUGAUGAGGUGCCAUGAGGAAAAAUGUGACUUAUGUUCGAUCUUUGUUUUUCAUUUCCAUGCUCCUUUACAGGUGUUUAUAUAGACGCACAAUAAAAUCUUAGAUAUCAAUUGGUUGAUUUCAUGCAUUUAUGUACCUUCCCUAAUUAGUAUCAGCGUAUCUUGCUAGUUUUACAUAAAUACCAAAGAUUUUAUUUUGGAAAAAUAUAUAUAUUUCAUCAUUAUAGCAUUUAAUGUUGAAGAUAACAUAUUGAGCCAAAAUAAAAUCUUUAGGUAUCGGCACUACAUUUAUGUCUCCAUUAUAAAAUAGUACCCAUACCAAUCUUGUUGGCUAUUUUGUAUCAUCCACACUUAUGUAAGUAUAUCUUACAUUUAUUUUACAUUAUUUUUUGUGUGGUAUAUUGUUUUAGUAUAUACAGAGGCUUGCACAAUCAAAUCUUAUGCAUUGAUGAACCUUGCAUAUACAAGAUCUCAAAAAUAUAUAUUGCUGGAGUACUCCAUACUCAUGAAUAUUAGGUAUCAAUAUUGCACUUUUUCUGCUAAAUUAAUGUUGAUGUAUCUUACUGAAUCUUUAUAAAUAUCAUGCAAUCGUUUGUAUAUGUUAUAAUUAUUGAUAUUGUUUUUUGCGGCAUUUAUUGACCUCUAUUAUAUGGUGGCAUGUAUAAUUAUUGAUAUUGCUUAUUUUCGCUUCAUUUGUAUUAUACAUUGUUAUAAAUUUUGCACUUAUAUUCUAUCAACAAUAAAUAAAUGCUUGGACAAACGUAAGCUUGUACUUACUGACGAAUAUGCAGCCCGUCAGUAGCAACACCAUUGUAGUAAACAUUUCAGAGUUUUUCCCGUUAUGCUUAUAACCGGCUAUAAUAAUUGAUCUUUAAUGUUUCAUGCUUCAGGGUAUUAUACAAAUGUCUCCCAUUUUAUUGAACAAAUGCAAGGGCACAACAACCAAGAUCUUUCUUGUGGGUCUUGCAUAAUUGUAAACUGAUUACAUGGUUUCAUGCUUAUGCACAUCUUAUUAUUCCUUAGUUAAAGUAGGAUUUGUAGUACUUUAUGCUUGAGUUGAUGUAUGUCAUCUGAAGUAGAAUGGAGCCUGAACCAAGUUGUAUGACUUAUGUUCACUAGGUGCACAUACUGCUGCUCUUCUAUAUGGAAUGUGAUACUGGGGUAUUAAUACUUAGUGUUGCUAUCUCAGAUAUUGCUAAAAAAAUCUCCGGUUUUGUAACUUGGUACGCUUGAGUGGUGCAAUACUUUUCAACUAUUUGCAUCUUUAAUUUAAAAACAUUGUAACCCGUUGACGCUGAAAAGUGGCACGAUCAUAAAGAGUACCUUGAACUAUGUCAAGAUUAAUUCAGACUUAUUAUUGAAGUCACUAUGGGAUGGAUCUCUUCCAGAAGAUCAAAAUGGAUAUGAAGAUGGUCUAAAACAGAGCCCCGAUGCAAAAGUUGUGACAAGUUCAAAGAUUGGAUAUAGUAUUGACCCUAUAGUCUCGGUAGCCGAACCGGGACUAAAGGUAUUGGGCUUUAGUACCGACCCUAUAGUCCCGGUUCCCGAACCGGGAGAAGUGGGCCUUAUGAACCGGGACAAAUGGGACUUUUUCUACUAGUGCAUAUUGGACCUGCCCAAUAAAUAUUUCAGAAAUACAUAAUAAUCCUAGAGGCUAGUUUGGACCAUUCACGCAUGUCAAGAGGUGGGACUAAAAUUUAGUCCCACAUUGCUAGUUGAGAGAGAGUUACACCUCCACAUAAGGUGAGCUCUUUCCCCACUUUUAUGAGCAUGAUAAAAAGAGAGGUUCUCACACGCUCCUCCUUUGCCGCCCUUCUCGCCUCGCCUCGCCUCAUCACGACACACUGUGUCGCGCCACGGGCUGUGGGAAUGCCUAGAGCAUGCAUGAAGCUGAAGCGUUUUGCUGAUGUAGUUAGUGGAGAUUGGUUACGAGUUUUGUUCGGCUUUGGCUGCUACAUCUCCGUCUCCCGUCUCUUUGUUUCAUUUCCCGUCGCAGCCUACUGGCCUCCUCUUUCUGUGCUUAUAAAAUAGAGGUCUCUCCUCUCCAUAGACACACAGAAACAGAGCACCACUUGCCUCCUACUACCAAGUUCCAGAGCACUACGCUACCAGGUUCUUCCCCAUCCCGGCUUAUGGUGUGCACCGCCGAUAGGGACAGUAGGCCUCCAGAACCACGCGACAUUGAGUCAUGCACGGGUGAAGGGAAAUAAGGUGUUUGGGGAGCGCUCUAUGCGACUACUGGCUUCUCCACCCCAGAGGUCGCUACAGACGUCGAAGACACUUCCCCCAAUGAUGACUUCUUUUAGGACAUCGGCAACCUCUUCGGUAACAAGGGCGACAGCAUCACGAAUGGCGCCGCCCCUGCUCCUGUCUAGGACGUGUUCACUUCUUCUCUAUUUAAUAUGUUUUUCCUAAUUUUAGUUCAAUUUCAUGUUCUAGCAAUUGGACUAGAUAUGCCAUGUUCAAAUUCACUACUACAUAUGUUAUUUUCUCACUCUCUGAUAGACUACAUGUCUAGUUUAAUCUUUACUAUUAUGUUUAAGUUUUAUCUACUAUUUUUAUGGAUUAAAUCAUAUGGUAAACUGCUCAUAUUCCCAACAGGCCCCAUCUACAUGUAUGGGUGUAACAAACACAUCAUAUGUGGUCAGUCUUCCUUCAUCAAAAUGUUCCAUGGCAAUCCAAUAGGAUUGAUGCCUCUAAUACCAAUUUUUAUUAGAAAAUAUAAGUUUAUUCAAUUAUUGGCAUCAGUAUACAACAUUGCAUUGCAUAAGCUAAGAAACUUUGUGGCUCUCAUUUUAAUAUGGAACCGAACUGUCUACAACAGCACUGAAGAUGAUGCUGGUUGGUUUCGCAUUCCAAUUGAUAAGGUGGGCGAAAGCCUCUUUCUAAGCAGUCACUCUGGCAAGACUCAUGAGUGCAACCCGCUAAAUCUCUGCAUGAGCGGCGUUGAACUACAAUGCAAUACAUCACAUAAAAAAAUUAGUAAUACAGUCCAUGAAAAAAUAUAUUUUCUCAUAGAUUAAUUAAUUUCAACAUUUGGAAACAGCAUGUAAAAUAUAAAUAGUGUUGCUUACUUGCUUGGCAGGACGGCAACGUUGAGAACAUGAACACAAUGACCAAUAAAGCAACAACUAUGUUGUCCAUGACCAUCCUUGUGUUUCUCUUGAUGAGUGCCAUGAGGAAAAAUGUGACUUAUGUUCAAUCUUUGUUUUUCAUUUCCAAGCUCCUUUACAGGUGUUUAUAUAGAUGCACAAUAAAAUCUUAGAUAUCAAUUGGUUGAUUUCAUGCAUUUAUGUACCUCCCCUAAUUAGUAUCAGCGUAUCUUGCUAGUUUUACAUAAAUACCAAAGAUUUUAUUUUGGAAAAAAAUUAUAUAUUCCAUCAUUAUGGCAUUUAAUGUUGAAGAUAACAUAUUGAGCCAAAAUAAAAUCUUUAGGUAUCGGCACUACAUUUAUGUCUCCAUUAUAAAAUAGUACCCAUACCGAUCUUGUUGGCUAUUUUGUAUCAUCCACACUUAUGUAUGUAUAUCUUACAUUUAUUUUAUAUUAUUUUUUGUGUGGUAUAUUGUUUUAGUAUAUACAGAGGCUUGCACAAUCAAAUCUUAUGCAUUGAUGAAUCUUGCAUACACAUGAUCUCAAAAAUAAGUAUUGCUGGAGUACUCCAUAGUCAUGAAUAUUAGGUAUCAUUAACUUUUUCUGCUAAAUUAAUGUUGAUGUAUCUUACUGAAUCUUCAUAAAUAUCAUGCAACCGUUUGUAUAUGUUAUAAUUAUUGAUAUUGUUUUUUGCUGCAUUUAUUAACCUUUAUUAUAUGGUGGCAUGUAUAAUUAUUGAUAUUGCUUCUUUUCGCUUCAUUUGUAUUAUACAUUGUUAUAAAUUUUGCAUUUAUAUUCUAUCAAUAAUAAAUAAAUGCUUGGACAAACGUAAGCUUGUACUUACUGACGAGUAUGCAGCCCGUCAGUAGCAACAUCAUUGUAGUAAACAUUUCAGAGUUUUUUCCCAUUAUGCUUAUAACCGGCUAUAAUAAUUGAUCUUUAAUGUUUGAUGCUUCAGUGUAUUUAUACAAAUGUCUCCCAUUUUAUUGAACAAAUGGAAGGGCACAGCAACCAAGAUCUUUCUUGUGGGUCUUGCAUAAUUGUAAACUGAUUACAUGGUUUCAUGCUUAUGCACAUCUUACUAUUCCUUAGUUAAAGUAGGAUUUGCAGUACUUUAUGCUUGAGUUGAUGUAUGUCAUCUGAAGUAGAAUGGAGCCUGAACCAAGUUGUAUGACUCAUUUUCACUAGGUUCACAUACUGAUGCUCUUCUGUAUGGAAUGUGAUACUGGGGUAUUAAUACUUAGUGUUGCUAUCUCAGAUAUAGUUAAAAAAAUUCUCCGGUUUUGUAACCUGGUACGGUUGAGUGGUGCAAUACUUUUCAACUAUUUGCACCUUUUAUUUGAAAACAUUGUAAGUUGUUGACGCUGAAAAGUGGCACGAUCAUAAAGAGUAGCUUGAGUUAUGUCAAGAUUAAUUCAGACUUAUUGUUGAAGUCACUAUGGGAUGGAUCUCUUCGAGAAGAUCAAAAUGGAUAUGAAGAUGGUCUAAAACAGAGCCCAGAUGCAAAAGUUGUGACAAGUUCAAAGAUUGGAUAUAGUAUUGACCCUAUAGUCUCGGUAGCCGAACCGGGACUGAAGGUAUUGGGAUUUAGGACCAACCCUAUAGUCCCGGUUCACGAACCGGGACAAAUGGGCCUUAUGAACUGGGACGAAUGGGCCUUUUUCUACUAGUGCAUAUUGGACCUACCCAAUAAAUAUUUCAGAAAUUCAUAAUAAAUCCUAGAGGCUAGCUUGGACCAUUCACGCAUGUCAAGAGCUGGGACUAAAGUUUAGUCCCACAUUGCUAGUUGAGAGAGAGUUAAACCUCCUCAUAAGGUGAGCUCUUUCCCCACUUGUAUGAGCAUGAUAAAAAAGAGAGGUUCUCACGCGCUCCUCCUCUGCCGCCUGCCUCGCCUCACCUUGCCUCAUCACGACACACUGCGUCACGCCACGGGCUGCGGGAAUGCCUAGAGCAUGCAUGAAGCUGAAGCGUUUUGUUGCUGUAGUUAGUGGAGAUUGGUUACGAGGUUUGUUGGGCUUUGGCUGCCACGUCUCCGUCUCCCGUCUCAUUGUUUUAUUUCCCUUCGCAGCCUAUUUUCCUCCUCUUUCUGUGCUUAUAAAAUAGAGGUCUCUCCUCUCCAUAGACACACAGAAACAAAGCACCACUUGCCUCCUACUACCAAGUUCCAGAGCACUGCGCUACCAGGUUCUUCCCCAUCCCGGCUUAUGACGUGCAGUGCCGAUUGGGACAGUAGGCCUCCGGAACCACGCGACAUUGAGGCAUGUACGGGUGAAGGAAAAUAAGGUGUUUGGGGAACGCUCUGUGCGACUACUGGCUUCUCCACCCCAGAUGUCGCUACAGACGUCGAAGACACUUUCCCCAAUGAUGAAUUCUUUUAGGACAUCGGCAACCUCUUCGGUAAUAAGGGCAACAGCAUCACGAAUGCCGCCGCCCCUGCUCCUAUCUAGGACGUGUUCACUUCUCCUUUGUUUAAUAUGUUUUUUUCCUGAUUUUAGUUCAAUUUCUUGGUCUAGUAAUUGGACUAGAUAUGCCAUGUUCAAAUUCACUACUACAUAUGUUAUUUUCUCACUCUCCGAUAGACUACAUGUCUAGUUUAAUCUUUACUAUUAUGGUCAUGUUUUAUCUACUAUUUUUAUGGAAUAAAUCAUAUGGUAAACUGCUCAUAUUUUCAACAUGCCCCAUGUACAUGUAUUGGUGUAACAAACACAUCCUAUGUGGUCGGUCUUCCUUCAUCAAAAUGUUCCAUGGCAAUCCAAUGAGAUUGAUGCCUCUAAUACCUAUGUUUAUAAGAAAAUAUAAGUUUAUUCAAUUAUUGGCAUCAGUAUACAGAAUUGCAUUGCAUAAGCUGAGAAACUUUGUGGCUCUCAUUUUGAUAUGGAACCGAAUUGUCUACAGCAGCACUGAAGAUGAUGCUGGUUGGUUUCGCAUUCCAAUUGAUAAGGUGGGCGAAAGCCUCUUUCUAAGCAGUCACUCUGGCACGACUCAUGAGUGCAACCCGCUAAAUCUCUGCAUGAGCGUCGUUGAACUACAAUGCAAUACAUCACAUAAUAAAACAAAUUAGUAAUACAGUCCAUAAAACAAAAAAAAUUGCUCAUAGAUUAAUUAAUUUCAACAUUUGGAAACAACAUGUAAAAUAUAAAUAAUGUUGCUUACUUGCUUGGCAGGACGACAACGUUGAGAACAUGAACACAAUGACCAAUAAAGCAACAGCUAUGUUGUACACGACCAUCAUUGUGUUUCUCUUGAUGAGUGCCAUGAGGAAAAAUGUGACUUAUGUUCGAUCUUUGUUUUUCAUUUCCAAGCACCUUUACAGGUGUUUAUAUAGACACACAAUAAAAUCUUAGAUAUCAAUUGGUUGAUUUCAUGCAUUUAUGUACCUCCCCUAAUUAUUAUAAGUGUAUCUUGCUAGUUUUACAUAAAUACCAAAGAUUUUAUUUUAGAAAAAAUUAUAUAUUUCAAUAUUAUGGCAUUUAAUGUUGAAGAUAACAUAUUGAGCCAAAAUAAAAUCUUUAGGUAUCGGCACUACAUUUAUGUCUCCAUUAUAAAAUAGUACCCAUACCGAUCUUGUUGGCUAUUUUGUAUCAUCCACACUUAUGUAAGUAUAUCUUACAUUUAUUUUACAUUAUUUUUUGUGUGGUAUAUUGUUUUAGUAUAUACAGAGGCUUGCACAAUCAAAUCUUAUGCAUUGAUGAAUCUUGCAUAUACGAGAUCUCAAAAAUAAAUAUUGCUGUUGUACUCCAUACUCAAGAAUAUUAGGUAUCAUUAUUGCACUUUUUCUGCUAAAUUAAUGUCAAUGUAUCUUACUGAGUCUUAAUAAAUAUCAUGCAAUCGUUUGUAUAUGUUAUAAUUAUUGAUAUUAUUUUUUGCGGCAUUUAUUGACCUCUAUUAUAUGGUGGCAUACAUAAUUAUUGAUAUUGCUUCUUUUCGCUUCAUUUGUAUUAUACAUUGUUAUAAAUUUUGCAUUUAUAUCCUAUCAACAAUAAAUAAAUGCUUGGACAAACGUAAGCUUGUACAUACUGACGACUAUGCAGCCCGUAUGUAGCAACACCAUUGUAGUAAACAUUUCAGAGUUUUUCCCGUUAUGCUUAUAAUCGGCUAUAAUAAUUGAUCUUUGAUGUUUCAUGCUUCAGGGUAUUUAUAAAAAUGUCCCCUGUUUUAUUGAACAAAUGGAAGGGCACAACAACCAAGAUCUUUCUUGUGGGUCUUGCAUAAUUGUAGACUGAUUACAUGGUUUCAUGCUUAUGCACAUCUUAUUAUUCCUAAGUUAAAGUAGGAUUUGCAGUGCUUUAUGCUUGAGUUGAUGUAUGUCAUCUGAAGUAGAAUGGAGCCUGAACCAAGUUGUAUGACUCAUUUUCACUAGGUGCACAUACUGCUGCUCUUCUAUAUGGAAUGUGAUACUGGGGUAUUAAUACUUAGUGUUGCUAUCUCAGAUAUUGCUAAAAAAAUCUCCGGUUUUGUAACUUGGUACGCUUUAGUGGUGCAAUACUUUUCAACUAUUUGCACCUUUUAUUUAAAAGCAUUGUAACCCGUUGACGCUGAAAAGUGGCACGAUCAUAAAGAGUAGCUUGAACUAUGUCAAGAUUAAUUCAAAAUUAUUGUUGAAUUCACUAUGGGAUGGAUCUCUUCGAGAAGAUCAAAAUGGAUAUGAAGAUGGUCUAAAACAGAGCCCGAAUGCAAAAGUUGUGACAAGUUCAAAGAUUGGAUAUAGUAUCGACCGUAUGGUCUCGAUAGCCGUACCGGGACUAAAGGUAUUGGGUUUUAGCGCCGACCCUAUAGUCCCGGUUCCCAGACCAGGACAAAUGGGCCUCAUGAACUGGGACAAAUGGGCCUUUUUCUACUAGUGCAUAUUGGUCCUGCCCAAUAAAUAUUUCAGAAAUUCAUAAUAAAUCCUAGAGGCUAGCUUGGACCAUUCACGCAUGUCAAUAGGUGGGACUAAAGUUUAGUCCUAUAUUGCUAGUUGAGAGAGAGUUACACCUCCUCAUAAGGUGAGCUCUUUCCCCACUUGUAUGAGCAUGAUAAAAAGAGAGGUUCUCACGCGCUCCUCCUCUGCCGCCUGCCUCGCCUCACCUUGCCUCAUCACGACACACUGCGUCACGCCACGGGCUGCGGGAAUGCCUAGAGCAUGCAUGAAGCUGAAGCGUUUUGCUGCUGUAGUUAGUGGAGAUUGGUUACGAGGUUUGUUGGGCUUUGGCUGCUACGUCUCCAUCUCCCGUCUCUUUGUUUCAUUUCCCGUCGCAGCCUAUUUGCCUCCUCUUUCUGUGCUUAUAAAAUAGAGGUCUCUCCUCUCCAUAGACACACAGAAACAGAGCAUCACUUGCCUCCUACUACCAAGUUCCAUAGCACUGCGCUACCAGGUUCUUCCUCAUCCCAGCUUACGGCGUGCACCGCUGAUAGGGGAGAAUGAACACGUCCUAUACAGCCUAUUUGCCUCCUCUUUCUGUGCUUAUAAAAUAGAGGUAUCUCCUCUCCAUAGACACACAGAAACAGAGCACCACUUGCCUCCUACUACCAUGUUCCAGAGCACUACGCUACCAGGUUCUUCUCCAUCCCGGCUUAUGGCGUGCAUCACCGAUAGGGACAGUAGGCCUCCGGAACCACGCGACAUUGAGUCAUGCACGGGUGAAGGGAAAUAAGGUGUUUGGGGAGCGCUCUGUGCGACUACUGGCUUCUCCACCCCAGAUGUCGCUACAGAUGUUGAAGACACUUUCCCCAAUGAUGAAUUCUUUUAGGACAUCGGCAACCUCUUCGGUAACAAGGGCGACAGCAUCGUGAAUGGUGCCGCCCCUGCUCCUGUCUAGGACGUGUUCAUUCUCCGCUAUUUAAUAUGUUUUUUCCUGAUUUUAGUUCAAUUUCCUGUUCUAGUAAUUGGACUAGAUAUGCCUUGUUCAAAUUCACUACUACAUAUGUUAUUUUCUCACUCUCUAUUAGACUACAUGUCUAGUUUAAUCUUUACUAUUAUGGUCAUGUUUUAUCUACUAUUUUUAUGUAUUAAAUCAUAUGGUAGACUGCUCAUAUUUCCAACACGCCCCAUGUACAUGUAUGGGUGUAACAAACACAUCCUAUGUGGUCAGUCUUCCUUCAUUAAAAUGUUCCAUGGCAAUCCAAUGAGAUUGAUGCCUCUAAUACCUAUGUUUAUAAGUUUAUUCAAUUAUUGGCAUCAGUAUACAGCAUUGCAUUGCAUAAGCUGAGAAACUUUGUGGCUCUCAUUUUAAUAUGGAACUGAAUUGUCUACAGCAGCACUGAAGAUGAUGCUGGUUGGUUUCACAUUCCAAUUGAUAAGGUGGACGAAAGCCUCUUUCUAAGCAGUCACUCUGGCACGACUCAUGAGUGCAACCCGCUAAAUCUCUGCAUGAGCGUCGUUGAACUACAAUGCAAUCCAUCACAUAAUAAAAAAAAUUAGUAAUACAGUCCAUAGAACAAAAAUAUUUGCUCAUAGAUUAAUUAAUUUCAACAUUUGGAAACAGCAUGUAAAAUAUAAAUAAUGUUGCUUACUUGCUUGGCAGGACGGCAACUUUGAGAACAUGAACACAAUGACCAAUAAGGCAACAGCUAUGUUGUACAUGACCAUCCUUGUGUUUCUCUUGAUGAGUGCCAUGAGGAAAAAUAUGACUUAUGUUCAAUCUUUGUUUUUCAUUUCCAAGCUCCUUUACAGGUGUUUAUAUAGACGCAC